GGGAGCCGUAGGGAAACCGAGUCUUAACCGGGCGUUAAGUUGCAGGGUAUAGACCCGAAACCCGGUGAUCUAGCCAUGGGCAGGUUGAAGGUUGGGUAACACUAACUGGAGGACCGAACCGACUAAUGUUGAAAAAUUAGCGGAUGACCUGUGGCUGGGGGUGAAAGGCCAAUCAAACCGGGAGAUAGCUGGUUCUCCCCGAAAGCUAUUUAGGUAGCGCCUCGUGAAUUCAUCUCCGGGGGUAGAGCACUGUUUCGGCUAGGGGGCCAUCCCGGCUUACCAACCCGAUGCAAACUGCGAAUACCGGAGAAUGUUAUCACGGGAGACACACGGCGGGUGCUAACGUCCGUCGUGAAGAGGGAAACAACCCAGACCGCCAGCUAAGGUCCCAAAGUCAUGGUUAAGUGGGAAACGAUGUGGGAAGGCCCAGACAGCCAGGAUGUUGGCUUAGAAGCAGCCAUCAUUUAAAGAAAGCGUAAUAGCUCACUGGUCGAGUCGGCCUGCGCGGAAGAUGUAACGGGGCUAAACCAU
rnacentral:rRNA from 3 species